rnacentral:rRNA from 1 species
GGUGCUAAUACCGGAUAAGAAAGACGGAUCGCAUGAUCAGCUUUUAAAAGGACGGCGUAAGCUGUCGCUAUGGGAUGGCCCCGCCGGUGCAUUAGCUAGUUGGUAAGGUAAAGGCUUACCAAGGCGAUGAUGCAUAGCCGAGUUGAGAGACUGAUCGGCCACAUUGGGACUGAGACACGGCCCAAACUCCUACGGGAGGCAGCAGGA